GCGAACGGGUGAGUAAUAUAUCGGAACGUACCCAAGAGUGGGGGAUAACGUAGCGAAAGUUACGCUAAUACCGCAUACGAUCUAAGGAUGAAAGCAGGGGAUCUUCGGACCUUGUGCUCCUGGAGCGGCCGAUAUCUGAUUAGCUAGUUGGUGAGGUAAAGGCUCACCAAGGCCACGAUCAGUAGCUGGUCUGAGAGGACGACCAGCCACACUGGAACUGAGACACGGUCCAGACUCCUACGGGAGGCAGCAGUGGGGAAUUUUGGACAAUGGGCGAAAGCCUGAUCCAGCAAUGCCGCGUGAGUGAAGAAGGCCUUCGGGUUGUAAAGCUCUUUUGUCAGGGAAGAAACGGUGAGGGCUAAUAUCCUUCACUAAUGACGGUACCUGAAGAAUAAGCACCGGCUAACUACGUGCCAGCAGCCGCGGUAAUACGUAGGGUGCAAGCGUUAAUCGGAAUUACUGGGCGUAAAGCGUGCGCAGGCGGUUUUGUAAGUCUGACGUGAAAUCCCCGGGCUCAACCUGGGAAUUGCGUUGGAGACUGCAAGGCUAGAAUCUGGCAGAGGGGGGUAGAAUUCCACGUGUAGCAGUGAAAUGCGUAGAGAUGUGGAGGAACACCGAUGGCGAAGGCAGCCCCCUGGGUCAAGAUUGACGCUCAUGCACGAAAGCGUGGGGAGCAAACAGGAUUAGAUACCCUGGUAGUCCACGCCCUAAACGAUGUCUACUAGUUGUCGGGUUUUAAUUAACUUGGUAACGCAGCUAACGCGUGAAGUAGACCGCCUGGGGAGU
rnacentral:rRNA from 1 species